AUUGAACGCUGGCGGAAUGCUUUACACAUGCAAGUCGAGCGGCAGCGCGGGGCAACCUGGCGGCGAGCGGCGAACGGGUGAGUAAUGCAUCGGAACGUACCCAGUCGUGGGGGAUAACUGUCCGAAAGGACAGCUAAUACCGCAUACGUCCUGAGGGAGAAAGCGGGGGAUCGCAAGACCUCGCGCGAUUGGAGCGGCCGAUGCCGGAUUAGCUAGUUGGUAGGGUAAAGGCCUACCAAGGCGACGAUCCGUAGCUGGUCUGAGAGGACGACCAGCCACACUGGAACUGAGACACGGUCCAGACUCCUACGGGAGGCAGCAGUGGGGAAUUUUGGACAAUGGGGGCAACCCUGAUCCAGCCAUUCCGCGUGAGUGAAGAAGGCCUC
rnacentral:rRNA from 1 species